rnacentral:rRNA from 1 species
UACAGAGGUCUCAAGCGUUGUUCGGAUUCAUUGGGCGUAAAGGGUGCGUAGGCGGCGCGGUAAGUCGGGUGUGAAAUCUUGGAGCUUAACUCCGAAACUGCAUUCGAUACUGCCGUGCUUGAGGACUGGAGAGGAGACUGGAAUUUACGGUGUAGCGGUGAAAUGCGUAGAUAUCGUAAGGAAGACCAGUGGCGAAGGCGGGUCUCUGGACAGUUCCUGACGCUGAGCACGAAGGCCAGGGAGCAAACGGG